UGGUAAUUAAUUAAGACCUUCAAUAUACUGCUGUGAGUAUUUAAAAAUACUAUUAUGUUCAGUAACAAAACUAAACGGGAAUACCAUGCUGUUACAUGAAUAAUAGUACUCUUUCAUAACAUAGUUUGGAAGGCAUAUCAGUUGCAGAUUAGAGGAUGGCCGAAUAACCACUUUUGUCUACUGUGUGCUACUAUAAUGUGAUAAUAGGCGCCAUCUCUUCAAGGAAUGCACUCAUGUAGGUCGAACUCACUGGUUAGCCAAGACAACCACAUACUGCAGAAACAACAAUGUGUGCCGGUUGGAAAACCCUCAUGGGUGCCAGAUUUCCUAAUCUGCAUCUAGCAGACAGCCAAUGCAUUGCAAAACAAAAGUCGGAUCAAUGCAUUUGCUUGAUAAUAGCCAAUGCAUUGAGUAGCUCCUCAUCCCACAUCCGCAUAUCACCAUCCAUCCAUCCCACAUCCAUCUAGAGCAAAAUCGAAGAAAUUGAACCACAAAUUUUUCGCACAAAAAUUCAUCACUCCAAUGAAAAUUCAUUACAGGAAAUAUUUGCAUGCAUCAAACAUAAAGAACAAGAUGAAGAAAUCAGAAAAAAAAUAGAAGUUAGUCCACAUGCCCUGGUAAUUCAGCCACCAUCGUGGAGAAACCUCUUUGCAUGCCGUGCUGUGCCAAAGAGGGGGUGGCGCCAAAAAAGGAGGCGCCGGAACUGGCCACCCCCGAGCGGCGGUGGGAAGGGGCCGAAAGGAGGGGUUGCACUGGUGGGAAGAGGCGGAGAGGAGGUGCGACGCUGGUGGGGGGUAGCGCCGUAUCCAGCCGCUCCAGAGCACCGGUCGGGGGGAAUGGCACCAGAUCCGGUAGCCCCCAAGCACCGGGUGGGAAGGGUGGCACUGGAUCCGGCCACCACCGAGCAUCGUUGCGGAGGGGCGGCACCAGAUUCGGCUGCCGAACUCGACGUUGCAGGUGCGGGAGCCAUACUCACAUGGCUGUGUUAGAGUGAAACCAUACAAGUUUUAUGUUGGCUACCUCAACACAUAUUCUUGAGUAGGCUUGGUUUGCCUACCUAUAGUGCACCCCUUUGGUUCCUGGUGUUUCCCAGUCCUAUAUGUGUAGGUCUACAUGCCACAUCCUAGCGAAGCACCAAACCGGUGGCCUCCAUUUGCUAAGGCCUCAAUACAAAAUCUUGAAUUUGCCUCUUCGCGAUGCUCAUUUUGACACGGCUCUGUUUUAUUUGUAACCAUCCAAGUGGCAGCAAUGAUGUAGCAUGCCAAUUGUGUUGUAUAUAUGGAGUAUCUGUCAUAGCCCAUGUGAGCAGAUACGCAGAGCUUAACCAUAUUUAAGUUAGAUGUAUCAUCUCUGGCUCUCUGCAGAAAGAAAAAGUUGGAUGUGUCAUCUGGAUGAACCUAUUAGAAAUGACUUUAGUUAUAAUCUGUUUUAUUUAUGUUCGUGCAAAAACAUUUGUUCAACUAGCGUAGCUCUGCAACUUGUGAAUUAAUAAGCAACAUUAAAUCUGAUCGAGCUAUUAAUAUUGUACGACCUAACCUAACGGGAAAAAUAAUCUUAGAUGGUGGAAAUGAAAAUAUAGUGCAAUGCUUUUUAUUUCCUUAUACGACGAAAUACAUGUAACAUGUUUGGCCGUUUGGAAAAAUGCAACCAGAAAAUAUAGACUUGAGACAGCGACAGAGAAGAAACUAAUUAAACAGGGCAAUCACAAAUUUGCAAAAAACUAAACAUGGACUAAACAACGCUGCAGUAGUUCACAUUUCUACCAUAACUGUACUUCCAUUCCAUUAUGCUUACUCCCCCAAGUUGUGCGACACUUCGAUGAAGCGUACCGUAUAUCAUCCAGUUUAAUUUCAAUAACACGCACCGUUGAUACUUUUUGAAGGUUAGAUGGUUACGUAAGUGGAUUUGCCAUCCUUCGCUUCACGAUGCUUCCUAAGCCUACGUAUACAUGUGCCUACACCACACAAUUGUGAAGUAGUAAACCUCUCAUUGGUAUGUACACUUUUUAUGGACGAGCUGUAGGUUCCCUUAGUCUAGUUCGAUUAUCUCUUUAUGCUUAUCUUUUAUAUCCAAAGGAGAUAGUACAUAUGUACAACAGAAAAAAAGUGUUGCACCAUUUGUUUUAAUUAAGUAUAAAUAUGUGGAUCCGCAUUUGGUUUCCAUUUGUUAUAAAUUUUAAAAUUAAGUCAAUAAAGAUAAACGGUGCCCAUACUAGAUAGGUCGCAAUAGGUUACAAUGGGCAUCUAUGCCAUUUCAGAUGGAUGAGAACAGGACUACAAUAUUAUGUCGAAUAUAUUAAAUUGGCCUAAACAUGUUACGAAGCACAUGUAGCCUAUAUAGUUGGCUCGCCAGAUGUCAGGUUUCGCCAAGUCGGCUUCAUCCAUAGCGUGGCAUCUCUUUGGGCUCCCUCUGCCAUGCCGAGAUUCACUCCAUGGUGUGACCACCUUCCCAUAAUUGUGUGCCACCGUCGCGUUCUUCAUAUCGCCAAUGGCACCCGCCCAACGGGAUCCUAGAAACAGCUAAUCACCCCUUCAACUCCAAUGAAUGGGCACAUGUAGCCGAAGUAAGGAAUCAGCUAGCUUAUCAGUUAUAUAUCACCUCAGAUUCAGGCAAUUCAAUCAAGAUAUAGGGCCUGUUGGCGGAGCAUCUCCCAGAAUCAGAAGCUCCCCCAAUUAAAAGCUUCAAACAAGAUGGCUUUCCUCGACAGCAGUGCAAUUCAUAGACGUGAUGGCCUUGUCGAAACAGAACCAUCACAGUUCGCAAAGACAGGAUAUUUCAGAAAAAAAUGAUAUUGUGUGGUACAUGCUGAAAUAUACUCUUAUCUAUCGCACCUUUUGAUCCUAUGACUCUAUGAGUCUAAGUGACCAGUCAACCAACCCCUACACAGCCUUGGCAUGACAGUGGGCAUCACUCUAUAUUUUUAAGAUCUUCGCCACGCUGGUAGUCAGGUUUGGUGAUUAGAACAUCUGCUUGCUGGACUGGGAUUUGGCUAGCACAAAGGUCCCAUUAGUUGUGUUGUAGUGAAAAAAAUGGAGGCUAUAUAUCAUUAGGUUUCAAUAACACUCUGUGGAUGAAAUUGCUAA